rnacentral:rRNA from 1 species
AUUGAACGCUGGCGGCAUGCUUUUCACAUGCAAGUCGAACGGUAACAGGCCUUCGGGUGCUGACGAGUGGCGAACGGGUGAGUAAUGCAUCGGAACGUACCCAGAGGUGGGGGAUAACGCAGCGAAAGCUGUGCUAAUACCGCAUGUGAUCUGAGGAUGAAAGCGGGGGACCGAGCAGCAAUGUUUGGCCUCGCGCCUUUGGAGCGGCCGAUGUCGGAUUAGCUAGUUGGUGGGGUAAAGGCCUACCAAGGCGACGAUCCGUAGCUGGUCUGAGAGGACGACCAGCCACACUGGGACUGAGACACGGCCCAGACUCCUACGGGAGGCAGCAGUGGGGAAUUUUGGACAAUGGGCGCAAGCCUGAUCCAGCAAUGCCGCGUGCGGGAAGAAGGCCUUCGGGUUGUAAACCGCUUUUGUCAGGAACGAAACGGUGUCCGCUAAUACCGGGCGCUAAUGACGGUACCUGCAGAAUAAGCACCGGCUAACUACGUG